AGGGACUGAGUUUAAUUCGCUCCUUUUCCUGUCACUCCUGCUCCCGCUCGUCCUCCCUCUGGCUCUUCCUCCCUCUGGCUCUUCCUCCCUCUGGCUCUUCCUCCCUCUGGCCUCGAGGGCGAAAGAUCGGCUUCUCCUGUCCGGCGUCACUCCUUACAUUUCCUUCCCAAACUCUACAAACCGGUUCAAUCAGCAAGGACACGCUGUGACGCAGGCUUUUCCUCUUGGCAACAUGCACCAGCUUGCGAUGUGACGUUGAGGGAAACAGGCAUAUGAAGAUGUCAUGCCCGGGCCCUUGGUUCCCCACACCAUUAUGGAAAUGUUUUUCUCCAAUUGCAGUACAGUUUCCGACAUCGGCAUUGUGCACCCACAGGAGGGACUGACACACUUCACAAAACAGAUAGCAUCAUGAGGAAGGAUUGAAGCAACAUCUCAAGAUCAGUCAGGAAGUUAAAGCUUGGUCGCAAAUGGGUCUUCCAAAUGGACAAUGACCCCAAGCAUACUUCCAAAGUUGUGGCAAAAUGGCUUAUGGACAACAAAGUCAAGGUAUUGGAGUGGCCAUCACAAAGCCCUGACCUGAAGGCUAUAGAAAAUUUGUGGGCAGAACUGAAAAAGCAUGUGCAUGCAAGGAGACCUACAAACCAGCUCUGUCAGGAGGAAUGGGCCAGAAAUCACCUAACUUAUUGUGGGAGGCUACCCGAAACGUUUGAGUUAAACAAUUUAAAG